GCUCUUUACCUGUCUGCCAGCGUUACUCUGCCCUUGGGUGGCAGUCAGGCAGUCUGUGAGGUGGACGCUCUUGACCUGUCUGCCAGCGUUACUCUGCCCUUGGGUGGCAUUCAGGCUGUCUGUGUGGUGGAUGCUCUUUACCUGUCUGCCAGCGUUACUCUGCCCUUGGAUGACAUUCAGGCUGUCUGUGUGGUGGACGCUCUUUACCUGUCUGCCAGCGUUACUCUGCCCUUGGGUGGCAUUCAGGCAGUCUGUGUGGUGGACGCUCUUCACCUGUCUGCCAGCAGGCUUCUCAUUUUUCUUGUUCAUUAUGCUCUGCACACCCAGCAGAUCUAGAAUAGCCACUAAUAUUAAUGAAUUUCUUUCAUAUUACUCAUUCAGUCUAUAGAUUAUUUUCCUUCCAAGUGAUUAUAAUGUUUAUCAGUCUGAUACUGAUUCUGUCCAGAGGAACAUUCCUAUAUUCUAUAGUUUUACUGACUGUUAUUUUCUCAUAGUCCCUACAGUGACUAAUUACACUGUAUAUUGGCCACGUUCCCUCUUAUUCACACACUGUAGCGUGUUGAGGCCUGGGAAAUUUUCCACCAUGGCUGAAGUGGACCUCAGUCCACUCACUGCUUCAUGUCUUUGCUUUUCGAGCAGUACGGAUAAUGCAGACUCCUUCGUGCGGGCGGAUGAUGAGACCUACGAGAACGACUCGGUGCGGCAGCUUGAGAACGAGCUGAAAAUGGAGGAGUUCCUCAAACAGAACCAGCAGGACAAGGCUUACAUGGUGUCAUUGCAGGAAUGAACAUAUUGUAUAAAUAAGUGAGCUCCGGCGCGACAGACAAAGCGAGCUCCGCAAGGACCGACAACAACGCCAGCUCCACCCACACCGGGAGGAGGGGCCUCUGGUCCAAUCAGAGCAGAGGCAGAACACGGGGCGACCACUGACGACACGGCCUUGCAACAAUGCCCACAAUUAGUGUCCCAGGACGGCUUCCAAAAGAUUGUAGUUAGUCACGUGUUUCGAAUGAGCAAACUAAAAUGCAUUUAUUUCUUUUUUUUUGUGUCUGCAGUGUCAUUCAUAAGCACUAUAAGGAUUUUAGAGUUUGGCCGAGGCUUGGAUUCCCAGCGUUAGUUUCUGACCUUAUCACUCAUUAACUGUCACUUACGUAACUACAGACAUAUUUUCCAUAUACAUUGUGUGACUAAUGCUUGGUUUAUAUUUCCGUUAAUGCUGUCAUGAUUUGGUUAUAUAAACUUUUUUAGCAGAGUAAAAUGCCACUUUUCAGACACAUACUUCCACUCAAAGACAUUCAGAAGCAGCCACCGGACUAUGCGUUGUACUACUGAAUGUGCACUUUCCGUUGAGAGCUUUUGGUUUUGCACCUAAGAUAGAUAGAGCUGUAAUUAAAGACCUGACUUGAAUUCAAAAUGAAAAAUCAGUUUUUAAUCAAAAUAUCGCAGCCAUAUUGUUUAUGUAAAUACAUAUAUACAUAUAUUUUUGCCUGAUAUUUCCAACAUCAAACUAGUGACACUGCUAAAUAAAUCCGUAAAUUAUUUAUGUAAAGAGUUAGUUUUUAAUCCACGACAUAUCAAAAUUAAAACUGUGAACCAAUUGAGGGAUUUUCAACAACAAAGCUGUCUACAAAUGCCACAGGUGCCAUACAGAUCUGAUUUGUACGAGAUGUCUCUGUUUAUUUCCCAUUAUGUUUUAUGGAUUAAUGCGUUUUAUUUUCAUGGUCAAAGCAUGUGUUGUAAAAGAGUUCUGUUUUUAGCCACGUGGCCUCCGGGUGUGUAUUGAGUAGAUUAAAGUGAGUUUUCUGAGGAUUUUUCAUUAUUGUUUUCUUUGAUUUUGAAUUUCACUGCGUGUGUGCUGACAGUGGGUUCUGGUGAAGCUUCAGCAAGGCAGGGCAGGAGAGCACGGGGCGGGGGUGGUGAGGGGGGGGCGAGCUGAGCGCCUCCGGCGUGACACGUCGUCCGUUCAGUACGCACUGCGCCAGUGGCAGGUGAAGACCAGUUAGUUAUGUCAGGUGAUCUGUGUGUCACUGCAUGAUUUUAGGAGGCCAGUGUUAAAGGUGUGGUGAAGCACAACAUCCCCUGGUGAAGCUGGUGUCCAGUGUUGUAACAUAAACACCAGUGCUGAUUCUCGCUCUGUAACAGCACAUCGAAUCACCUUUAUUAUGUAAAAUAUAAAAUACGCCCUAACCUUUAUCAGCCCUAAAACAAUAAUCUUUAUAUCUUAAAUACAGUUUUUAAUUUUUUUUUUAGUCUUUAUAGAGUCGUUAUGAGCAUGGUGAAAUGUUUUGAAUGUUGCCGGGAUAAACUGAAGAUGUUUGGCUUCAGAUUCAGUUUUUACUUUCUUUACGCAUCCAGAGCUUUAGUGUUGCGUGUUUCACACUGUGUGUGUUAAAUGGGUUAUAUUCUCACCAUAAAAAAACAGUCUGAUGGCACUGAUGUUAAACACUGAUGGGAAAGAGAUCCUGCGAUUUCAUUUCCCCUUUUCGGAGGAUUUGUAACGGCAGUAAUGCAAACACUUACCAAUAGAGGGCGCUGAGUUUGUCAGGUUGGACGUCUAUCAUAGACGUCUGUAGGCCAUGUGAUUGAUUUAAGUAUCUGACUACAAUCCACGGUCAAUUUGUUUCUCUUUGUUUGUUAUAUGUUUUUCUGUCUGAAAUUCCUGUCUGCCGUUUACUUGGCCAGAAAAUAAUGUGCCUGUAAAACUGUGUAAUUCUGCAAAUGUAAUAUGUCCAAAAUUAAGAUAAAAUGUCCAUAUUAUAUAAAUAAGUAGCACAUCUUUGUUUUUAGUUCAUAAUACGUUGUGCAAAUCAAUUUGCAUGACCUAUGCGGUUCUAUCCAUUUGUACAGAAGGAUAUUUAGUGAUGUAAUUCAGGUAAAGUAUGUUUCUGAAAGUUAGAUUAGCAGGGCCGUCCUGGGACUACAACUAGUGAACCCAGUUUCUUAACCACUAUGCCAUCUGCGGCCAUUCCCCAUCACAGAUAUUCUGCAAUCGUUUGAGCAGGCCUAAUCCGCAAGUCACCGUGUGAUAUUACAGCAGAACUUGUGGCUGCAGGAUGGACUGACCGAUCGUUGUGCUCUUUCGCAUUUCAGCCUUAAAAACACCGGUGCAGGAGAAGCGGUAAUGAACCUUAGAGCUACAGAUGUGACUCAGGACAAAGAACCUUGUACACAGGUCACUCAAGCCCCACAUCGCUACCCAAGGUGUCCAGUGGUCUCACUAUGGAUCCAGUGCAUCCAGUUGCCAAAGCUGCAUUUGAGUGGCAGUGCUCUAGGUUGUGUCAGCUGAAAGUUAGAACCGCAGCUAAACACUGGGGGGUGAAAUAAGCUUUUUUCAGUGCAGGAUAAUCAAAUUAUAUUAUAUACUGUAAUGUUUCUGGUGCAACAGCCACAAUAUUGAGGUUUGAAAGGAUUGCCGUUUGAAUACAGUCUCCAUCGCAGACUUCCAUUCACCCCUCCAUCCAUUUCCAAUUUGCUUUGCCUGGUCAGCAUCACCAGGAAGCCAAAUCCCAGGUGGCAUUAGGGCACAAGGCUGGGAUACAGCCUGGACGGGAUGCCAGUCCAUCCCGAGACAUCCCCCACAAAGAUGAUUUUUUUUUUUUUAACCCACGAAUCACAGCACAAGUAGGUUGAUGUUCAUCCGGGAGUGUCCGGCCUGUGAGGGGGGGUUAUGCCGCUGUCUGUACCAUCGCUGACGUUUCUGUCGUACAGUUCCAGCUUACGUUCUACUGUGCUAUAGAAAGUAACAGCACAGAAAUCACACAAAAGGUCUGCAACCUUUCGGACGUUUUUAAGUUCAACCUUUUAUGGAAGCUUUGCCAAAUACAAGUGUAGUUAAACCAUAUGACCUCUUUCAAAUUAUGUUGUUUUCCCUAAAAUUAAAACCUUAAAUAAUAACCUUUUUUUAUUUUGAUGCUAGUACUUUUUUUAUGCUUGUCCUGCUGUUUAUGACUUUUGCAUCACUCCAAACAUAUUUUUCCCCGGAAAGCUGUUUUUAUUUUAUUUUAUUUAUUUAUUUAUUUUUUUGAAUGAAGAAAAUGCUUUAUGCUUUAAUAGUUGUACAAAAUAAUUAUUUAUGUGACAAUUUAGGUUUGUUUGCCGUGAAUGAAAUUAAUAGAGCGGGAGGCCCAAAUGUGACGGGUUACGGAAUUAUUCAAAUGAACAUUUCAGUCACUUUUAGAUACUUGAGCAAUGAUUGUAUGCUGUCAAUGUUCAGAUCACUUUAGUAUGUAGAGAUGUUACCCACGUUAAGAACCUUUGUUUCUGUUGAGAAAUUUCAUGUAUUUUCUUAUUGCAUGGUUAAAGCCCAAUUCUGUCAACGGAAGCACAGGUGUGUUCCUUCUUUCCAGGGAUUGUAGCACCCCCUGGUGGUGACAAAGGGUAAACAGAUCGUACAAGGCCAGGUGGAGGUUAUCCCCCAAUUUAUUUGGCCUUCUGACAGGAUUUGUUCCCCAGAUCACAAGGCGUAUUUUCAGUGUUUUCCAAUUUAUACUGAUCACAGUGUUACUUUGUAAAUAAUGUAACAGUUAUUAAAGAUUAAAUACAAACUGAUUUAAAAUUCUUGGUGUGGCUGAUGCAGAGCUGCACGUACAGAAAGACACACCCCAUGUUAUGGGCACUGUAUUUUGAACCAAAAAUGUAAAAAUGGUCCAGCUGUCAAAAUUUAUCUGUAAAAAAAAAAAAAAAAAAAAGCUACUGUACUUCAUACCUUCAGAGGUAAUGUACUAAAACGAAAUCUCCAAAUAAACUCUUCUUUUUCUGUCUUUCAUUGGUAUUGUAAUAGAACUACUGAUGUCUGUUUUGUAUUGUUGUAUUUUUUUUGUCUGUGUUUGAAAUAAUGGGGACAUGUUACAUUUUGAAGUGAUUAAAAUAUUUAACCGUGA